UCGGACUGAAAAUGAUCUCAGGUGUCUGAAAGUGGUCUGAGGUCAGAUAACUGAGCCUAAAGUACUGCGGCACGUUAAGCUUAUCACCUGCUCACCAUUGGCAGAGCGAUAAAACCCAUGUGCCAACAAAA
ensembl:snoRNA small nucleolar RNA ACA64